rnacentral:rRNA from 1 species
CCAGCACCCCGAGUGGUCGGGACGAUUAUUGGGCCUAAAGCAUCCGUAGCCGGUUUUACAAGUCCUCCGUUAAAUCCAACUGCUUAACAGAUGGGCCGCGGAGGAUACUAUAAGACUAGGAGGCAGGAGAGGCAAGCGGUACUCAGUGGGUAGGGGUAAAAUCCGUUGAUCCAUUGAAGACCACCAGUGGCGAAGGCGGCUUGCCAGAAUGCGCUCGACGGUGAGGGGUGAAAGCUGGGGGAGCAAACCGGAUUAGAUACCCGGGUAGUCCCAGCUGUAAACGAUGCAGACUCGGUGAUGGACUAGCUUCAUGCUAGUCCAGUGCCGCAGGGAAGCCGUUAAGUCUGCCGCCUGGGUAGUACGGUCGCAAGACUG